UUGUUUGCUACUCGGAUGUAUUAUUCCUUGACUGGGAUGCUUCAUUGCACUUUGAUUGGCUGAGCAGGAUCAUGCGACUUGCUUUCUUUGUUCCUGUGCAGUUUGCCUUAUGCACUGAGUAAUCUGACAAAGCUGAAAAUCGUGGGCCUGGAGGGAAAUCCUUUGAGGUCCAUCUGCAGAGAUCUCCUAACAUGAGAAACAAGAGGCAUCCAUUCCGGAUGAUGUAUUCAAUGCAGUUUGCAACAACCCUAUUACCAGUGUGAACUUCAGCAAGAACCAGCUUACAGGGAUCCCGGCCAGAAACAACCUUUUAUCCUCACUACCUGCAGAACUGGAAGCCCUAAUGAAACUGAGGAGUGUAAUUCUUUCUUUUAACAGUUUAGGUUUCAAACAUUUCCUGCCGUGCUGUAUCGGAUUACCACACUGGAAACCAAGUAGCAACCAUGUCGAAACUAUUGAUCCACUCCGGCUGAAACAGCUGUCGAAACUGGCAACAUUGGACCUGCAGAACAAUGACAUUAUGCAAGUCCCUCCAGAGCUUGGCAACUGCAAGUCUUAGAGCACUAAUGCUGGAUGGAAAUCUAUUUCGCAAUCCAAGGGCAGCCAUUGUGGCAAGAGGAACUGAUGCACUAUUAGAAUACCUUAGAAGCCAUAUACUAUGCUAAGUGAUGGACAGAUGUGUCUCCGCUACACUACAAACACAUGCCACACGCACAUCCCUCCUAAUGAUUCCAUGGCCUUGAAUAUUCAUGAAUAUUCACGUUCCUUUUUUUUUUACUUCUAGUGUAUACAGCAUGUAGUCCUAUCCUGUGUAUAAGAUUUGAGACAACCAAAUUCAAUUAAAACCUGCAUAUCAGGGCUGAAGAUUUAAGGUAUACUUGACAAAAUGAAUUUAAUAUUUUUAUUUACUACAAAAUGCAAGAAUUUCUGAUCUAAUUAUUUUUUGAGUACAUAUUUUCUUAUUUUUAUUGAAAGUUGUAUGUUUACAAUUACACAAACAGAAAAGAUGUAUUAACAGUUUUUCUUUAAUUUGUUUACAGUACACUGCUACUUUUUUGUAAGAUUAUGUUUAAUAUUUUGUUAUUUGAAUUACAGUUUACACUUUUAUACCUGGACUCAGAAAUGUCCAAAGUACAUUUUAACUCUUUCAGCAUUGAAGAUCUACAAAUGUGUCUUAGAAAACUAACUCCACCCAAAAUUAAUUGCCAGCACAGUCUAGGAAAAAAAUCAUUCAAUGCAACAGACUACUUAACCAGUCUCGUUCUUGGGUAUGCCCUUAUCAUUUUUGUAUGCUGUUUUUCUCAUGGAAGACACUACAGAUGUGUGAAUGUGGCACAUUAAUGAGUAAAAGGUGGUGCCCCGUUCUCCAUAAUCUUUCAUGAUUUAAUACAUUUGCUACUUGUAUUACACUUUGUAGCAAAUCAUGUUGUACAUUUAAAUAAACGUUUUGUCACAGUACACUGAAGGCGGCACUAGCGGAAACGUUUCACUUUAGAAUUCUGAUUGAGCGUUUGGGAUGAUUACUUAUUAAUAAGUAUCCUAACGAUGCAAAUCACAGUACACUCAAUACAUUCACAGCACAAUUUGGUCUAUAGGUAGUAUGAGGAAUGGUUACCAUUUAAGAUUUGGACAUAAUUAAGUUUCUCCAAAGGGGGUGUCAUCGUUCUGUGGUGUUCCAAGGUACCCUGAAUGAUGCUUGUAAUGUAUCUUCUGUGAUGGCAGGGUAAGUUUAAAUUAAGUUUGACCUAUAACAUCUUUUGCUAUCAUGUGGAGACACUAGUUGCAGUUCGGGAAGAUAAAAAAACCCCAACACACCUCACCUAAUUGAUCAGUCCAAUGGUGUCCUUUUUGCAUUCAGUUUGGCAUCCCUCCACCUCGCUGAGCUACCCCUUAGCUCCUAAACCUUUGGGGUACUGUUUGCCUUGCCCACAUGCUCAGGCAAUCAUCCCUCUGCCAAGCCGAUUCAAGGCAAAAAUUCUGUGUAUUACCAUAUGCACAAUCUUAGCAAUAGAAAUCAAAUCCGUUCAUUUUAUGGUGUAGGGUGUUUUUCUGAUCUUCUGCAUCAAUAUACAAGGAACCCCAAAUAAUUCUCCAAAACAGAUAUACUAAGAAUGUUUUUGCAGUCACUUUGGGUAGUUUAUACACAUUUGAGAGCAUUGCAACAUAGCCUUGUGUGCUUUAAAAAGAUAACACCAGGUCAAAAUGGGGUUUUGUGUUUAAGAUCAAUGCUAAGGGUAUAGCUAUGUGUCAGACCAAGCAGUUCUCAAUAUCCCAGGCUUCAAUUAUGAACGUAUAUAGAAGACAUGUUUUGUGAUGGUUGGCUUUGGUCUUGACUAAAUAUUCAGCUAUGAGACAAACACUCCCAAAGCAUUUUAACAAUAAAGUGACAUUUUAUUGUUUGUACAAUAAAGAGACUUUCAUACAUUAUUCAAAACACUUCUUAAAUACUGAAAAAAUUGUACUUCCAAGGCCAAAAAUGGCCCUGUUAUACACUGCACAGCAUUUUGUUCUAGUUUUUUGUUGUUUUGAUUGUUUAGUAAAAUUCAUUUUAAAUAUAUACAGAUAGCAUCUGCGAAAUGCAUUCUAGACACAGAAUAUACACUUUAACAAUUACAUAUAUUAGUGUCAAUACAUAAAUAAAACUGGAAGGAUUAAACUUGCAUGUGCAAAUCAAGAAACAGGAUUAUAAAUUCUUACUAAAUUUAUCAAACUAAACUGAAUAUCUUCAUUAAUUACUUUUUGCACAAAAAAUGAAGCAGCAUUCAAGUCCAGUAAGUCUUCAUACUGCAGAAGCUUGGAAUACAUGAACAAUUUAUUUGAAUACAUUAUUUAAAUGUGUCUUCAUUCACAAUUAUUUACAUCAAUACUACAAUUAGACUGGAAAGUACCAUAUAUUAGCUGUAUUAUAUUUAGCACAUACAAAAAAUUACCAAUGUUUUAUUUUUUACAGAUAUAUAUUUUUAUAUAUAUAUAUAGUUUUUUAUAACACAAAUUCACAAUUACUGUAGAAAUUCGUUUUACAAGUCAGUUGUCCAACUCAUUAUCCUGAAUGCUUAUCUCUUCCUUAUACUCUUGGAUUCACUAUAAAACAGCACAAUUUGAGCAAAGCUAAGUAUACCAAUGUAUUAGAAAGAUAAUUACCUGAAAACUGUUGGUAGAAAAAAUUAUAUUAUCAAAGUUUUCUAUAGUAUUUGUUAUUUGUUGUAGUAGUAUUUUACAAUGUGCAGCUUCCUAUUUUUUAUGUUCUUAUCCAAACUUCUGUUUGGCAAAAUUGCAACACAGCACCUGUACUUGUAGCUAGCAAAGCUAGGAACACAUUUAUUAGGUCAUUUUUAUAGGGCUAGAAAUUGUAACUGCUUAGAUUUGCUCAAAAAUGUCUUGAAAGCUACAUUUAUUUUAUUAAAAAAAAAAAAAAAAAAAAAAAAAAGUAGAACAUUCUAUAUAAAGUGUCUUGUUUUUUUUUUUUUUUUUUUGGUCAAUACAUAUUUGACAGCAAUUCAUAUGGCACUGACUUACAAUAUUGACUUUGAUUUGCAUAUUGAAAACAGCUUUAUUACUGAAAUGUGAAAAAAAAAGUUAACUUAAGCAUUUACAAAUGUCAAGAGAGGGCAAAGUAAAAUUUGUUUUUAAGAAUACUUUUGUUUAAGCGAUGGUAUGCUUUUAAAAUAACCUCCUAAAAAGGGAUUUCUUCAAAAAUGUGAUGUUUAAAAUGCCCAUUCCCUGAUGUUUCAAAACUUGAAUUAUGAUGUCCUCAUUUGAAGUUUAAAUAACAUACUGUAAUAAUGGGAUGAGCAGUCACUUUGUUUCACUUAUUAUGCAAGUCUGGCCUUUUAAAUUUAGUCAUUUACAUUCUAUUAAUUUAGCUUCUUCUCACUCAUGUCAUGGCUAUAUCUCAAUGCCACACUCUAGAUGUGUUGCUAAAGUAAAUGCUAUUAAAAAGCAGUGAAAACUAUUUAUAUGGCCUUUAAAACAGUUCCCUCACAUAUUUAUGUACUGUUAGUCUUAUUCGGUGAUGUUUUGUCAUUGAUCCCAAAAAUAACUUACAGCGUUGUGUGUGCACUAAGGUUACAGAAGAACCCGGUUUUCUUUUUUUUCCCCCAAAAAAACACAAAGGUUUUAUGUCUUUCCAAAUACAUUGCUAAAAGAAAUUGAUACUUGGCUGAACUCGGCCUAGGUAAGACUCACCGGGCUACCUACCUUAACUUUUUCUGAAGUGCUUUAAAUUGGCUGCUGCU